rnacentral:rRNA from 1 species
CCUACGGGUGGCAGCAGUGGGGAAUAUUGCACAAUGGGGGAAACCCUGAUGCAGCGACGCCGCGUGAGUGAAGAAGUCCUUCGUUAUGUAAAGCUCUAUCAGCAGGGAAGAAAAUGACGGUGCCUGAGUAAUACGCCCCGGCUGACUACGUGCCAGCAGCCGCGGGAAUACGUAGGGGGCAAGCGUUAUCCGGAUUUACUGGUGGUAAAGUGAGCGUAGACGGCAGUGCAAGUCUGGAGUGAAAGGCGGGGGCUCAACCCCCGGACUGCUCUGGAAACUGUACGGCUGGAGUGCAGGAGAGGGAAGUGGAAUUCCGAGUGUAGCGGUGAAAUGCGUAGAGAUUAGGAGGAACACCAGUGGCGAAGGCGGCUUACUGGACUGUAACUGACGUUGAGGCUCGAAAGCGUGGGGAGCAAACAGGAUUAGAUACCCUAGUAGUC